UCCUUUAUAGUCUAGUUGUUUAGGAUACUCGAUUCUCACCCGAGAGACCCGGGUUCAAGUCCCGACAGUGGAA
rnacentral:tRNA from 1 species